ACGACCAUAGGGUGUGGAAAAUAGGGCUUCCCGUCCGCUCAGCCGUACUCAAGCCACACGCCGGUGAGUUAGUAGUUGGGUGGGUGACCACCAGCGAAUCCUCACUGUUGUAUGUU
rnacentral:rRNA from 1 species